rnacentral:rRNA from 1 species
AGUGAACGCUGGCGGUAGGCCUAACACAUGCAAGUUGAACGGCAGCACAGUAAGAGCUUGCUCUUACGGGUGGCGAGUGGCGGACGGGUGAGGAAUACAUCGGAAUCUACUUUUUCGUGGGGGAUAACGUAGGGAAACUUACGCUAAUACCGCAUACGACCUACGGGUGAAAGCAGGGGAUCUUCGGACCUUGCGCGAUUGAAUGAGCCGAUGUCGGAUUAGCUAGUUGGCGGGGUAAAGGCCCACCAAGGCGACGAUCCGUAGCUGGUCUGAGAGGAUGAUCAGCCACACUGGAACUGAGACACGGUCCAGACUCCUACGGGAGGCAGCAGUGGGGAAUAUUGGACAAUGGGCGCAAGCCUGAUCCAGCCAUACCGCGUGGGUUAAGAAGGCCUUCGGGUUGUAAAGCCCUUUUGUUGGGAAAGAAAAGCAGCAGGUUAAUACCCCGCUGUUCUGACGGUACCCAAAGAAUAAGCACCGGCUAACUUCGUG